GAGUCACGGACCAUCAGCACUGGAGCCCCACAAGGUUGUGUGCUCUCCCCUCUACUGUUCUCCCUCUACACCAACAACUGCACCUCCAGCCAUCCCUCUGUCAAACUCCUGAAGUUUGCAGACGACACGACCCUCAUCGGAUUAAUCACCAAUGGGGACGAAGCCGCCUACAGAGAGGAAGUUAACAGCCUGGCUUCCUGGUGCAGCCAGAACCACCUGGAGCUGAACGCUUUGAAAACUGUAGAGAUGGUGGCAGACUUCAGGAGGAGCCCAGCCCAAACUGCCCCCCUCAGCCUGUGCAACUCCCCAGUUAAAACAGUGGAGUCCUUCAGAUUCCUGGGGACCAUCAUUGCACAGGACUUGAGGUGGGCGGAGAACAUCACCUCCAUCACCAAGAA
rnacentral:misc_RNA from 1 species